rnacentral:rRNA from 1 species
AUUGAACGCUGGCGGCAGGCCUAACACAUGCAAGUCGAGCGAGCGGCGGACGGGUGAGUAAUGUAUGGGGACUGCCCGAUAGAGGGGGCUAACUACUGGAAACGGUGGCUAAUACCGCAUACUAUCGGCUAACCCAGAUGGGAUUAGCUAGUAGGUGGGGUAACGGCUCACCUAGGCGACGAUCUCUAGCUGGUCUGAGAGGAUGAUCGGCCACAUUGGGACUGAGACACGGCCCAGACUCCUACGGAGGCAGCAGUGGGGAAUAUUCCACAAUGGGCGCAAGCCUGAUGCAGCCAUGCCGCGUGUAUGAAGAAGGUUUUAGGGUUGUAAAGUACUGUCAGCGGUGAGGCGGUACCCGCAGAGGAAGCACCGGCUAACUCCGUGCCAGCAGCCGCGGUAAUAC